UACGGAGGGAGCUAGCGUUGUUCGGAAUUACUGGGCGUAAAGCGCGCGUAGGCGGCUUUGUAAGUUAGAGGUGAAAGCCCGGGGCUCAACCCCGGAACUGCCUUUAAGACUGCAUCGCUUGAAUCCGGGAGAGGUGAGUGGAAUUCCGAGUGUAGAGGUGAAAUUCGUAGAUAUUCGGAAGAACACCAGUGGCGAAGGCGGCUCACUGGACGAUUGUUGACGCUGAGGUGCGAAAGCGUGGGGAGCAAACAGG
rnacentral:rRNA from 1 species